rnacentral:rRNA from 1 species
CCUACGGGAGGCAGCAGUAGGGAAUAUUGCUCAAUGGGGGAAACCCUGAAGCAGCAACGCCGCGUGGAGGAUGAAGGUUUUCGGAUUGUAAACUCCUUUUGUUAGAGAAGAUAAUGACGGUAUCUAACGAAUAAGCACCGGCUAACUCCGUGCCAGCAGCCGCGGUAAUACGGAGGGUGCAAGCGUUACCCGGAAUCACUGGGCGGAAAGAGCGCGUAGGCGGGAUAGCAAGUCAGAUGUGAAAUCCUAUGGCUUAACCAUAGAACUGCAUUUGAAACUGGUAUUCUAGAGUAUGGGAGAGGUAGGUGGAAUUCUUGGUGUAGGGGUAAAAUCCGUAGAGAUCAAGAGGAAUACUCAUUGCGAAGGCGACCUGCUAGAACAUAACUGACGCUGAUGCGCGAAAGCGUGGGGAGCAAACAGGAUUAGAUACCCUUGUAGUC